GACGUAGGAGGCGAGCGUUGUCCGGAUUCAUUGGGCGUAAAGAGCGCGCAGGCGGCUUGGUAAGUCGGAUGUGAAAACCCGAGGCUCAACCUCGGGCGUGCAUCCGAAACUGCUCGGCUAGAGGUAGGUAGGGGAGAUCGGAAUUCCUGGUGUAGCGGUGAAAUGCGCAGAUAUCAGGAGGAACACCGGUGGCGAAGGCGGGUCUCUGGGCCGUAACUGACGCUGAGGAGCGAAAGCGUGGGGAGCGAACAGG
rnacentral:rRNA from 1 species